GGGUUGUGAGGUUAAGCGACUAAGCGUACACGGUGGAUGCCCUGGCAGUCAGAGGCGAUGAAGGACGUGCUAAUCUGCGAUAAGCGUCGGUAAGGUGAUAUGAACCGUUAUAACCGGCGAUUUCCGAAUGGGGAAACCCAGUGUGAUUCGUCACACUAUCAUUAACUGAAUCCAUAGGUUAAUGAGGCGAACCGGGGGAACUGAAACAUCUAAGUACCCCGAGGAAAAGAAAUCAACCGAGAUUCCCCCAGUAGCGGCGAGCGAACGGGGAGCAGCCCAGAGCCUGAAUCAGUGUGUGUGUUAGUGGAAGCGUCUGGAAAGGCGCGCGAUACAGGGUGACAGCCCCGUACACAAAAAUKCACAUGCUGUGAGCUCGAUGAGUAGGGCGGGACACGUGGUAUCCUGUCUGAAUAUGGGGGGACCAUCCUCCAAGGCUAAAUACUCCUGACUGACCGAUAGUGAACCAGUACCGUGAGGGAAAGGCGAAAAGAACCCCGGCGAGGGGAGUGAAAAAGAACCUGAAACCGUGUACGUACAAGCAGUGGGAGCACGCUUAGGCGUGUGACUGCGUACCUUUUGUAUAAUGGGUCAGCGACUUAUAUUCUGUAGCAAGG
rnacentral:rRNA from 1 species